rnacentral:rRNA from 1 species
AUAAAGUUACAUAAGAGUACAUAACGGAUCCCUUGACUAGUAUACCCGAUGAAGGACGUUGUAAGGUGCGAUAAGCUUCGACGAGCCCCUAAACAGGCUUUGACUCGGAGAUUUCCGAAUGGGGAAACCCACUUCAUUUAUGAAGUACUCUAUGCCCAAGUAAAUUAAGUAUAGAGAGGUAGGUCGGCGAACUGAAAUAUCUAAGUAGCCGGAGAAAAGAAAUCAAUAGAGAUUCCCUUAGUAGCGACGAGCGAAGAGGGACUAGCCCAAACCACUUUAGGUGGGGUUGUAGGACUCCAAUGUCUAAUGUUUAUAUAUAGAAGAAAACACUGGAAAGUGUUGCCACAGAAGGUGAUAGCCCUGUAUUUGAAAUAUAUUUAUGUUGGUAGGAGUAUCCUGAGUAGGUUCGGACACGUGAAAUCCGGAUUGAAUCUGGGAGGACCACCUUCCAAGGCUAAAAAGUAUACUAGAUCGAUAGCGAAUAGUACCGUGAGGGAAUGGUGAAAAGAACCCCGGGUAGGGGAGUGAAAUAGACGUGAAAUUAUGUACUUAUAAGGAGUGGGAGCCUUCGGGUGACCGCGUGCCUUUUGUAGAAUGAGCCAACGAGUUAGUCGUAUAAGGUGGGUUAAGGCAGUUACAGCCGGAGCCACAGCGAAAGCGAGUCCGAUAAGGGCGUUGAUCUUAUGCGCUAGACCCGAAACCAGGCGAGCUUACCGUGGGCAGGCUGAAGGUACGGUAAAACGUACUGAAGGGCCGAACCAUCGGAUGCAGCAAAAUCCUUGGAUGACCUGCGGUAAGAGUUGAAAUUACCAUCGAGCCUGGAGAUAGCUGGUUCUCUCCGAAAUAUAUUUAGGUAUAGCCUCCAGUUACUAGCAUGGGGGGUAGAGCACUGUUUGGGGACGGGCGGGAAAUAACUGUACCAACUCCUAGCAAACUUCGAAUACCCAUGUGACUGUCUGGGGAGUCAGUCGGCGACAGCGAAGUGCCGUCGACGCGAGGGAAAGAGCCCAGAUCACCGUCUAAGGUCCCUAAUAUAAUCUCAGUGGUAAAGGAGGUAUGAUUGUUUAAACAGCCAGGAGGUUGGCUUAGAAGCAGCCACCCUUUAAAGAGUGCGUAAUAGCUCACUGGUCGAACGAUUGUGCGCCGAAAAUCUAACGGGGCUUAAGAUUAUAACCGAAGACGUGAGUGGCCCAAUAGGGUCGCGGUAGGAGAGCGUUCUGGGAGCGCUGAAGGCAGGCUGAAAAGUUUACUGCUGGAGCGACCAGAAGUGAGAAUGUUGGCAUGAGUAACUUUAUGCAGGUGAAAACCCUGCACGUCGAACACCCAAGGGUUCCGAUCCACUGGCAAUCAGGGUCGGGUUAGCCGGGCCUAAGGCGAGGCCGAAAGGCGUAGUCGAUGGACAACAGGUUAAUAUUCCUGUGCCAUCUUAUGAUGUGAUGGGGGGACUUAUUCGGAAAUAUUUUGCUUCCAGUUAAUGAAUUCUGGGGCAAGCAAUUAGCUUAUGCUUCUACAGGAAAAUCCGUAGAGGUUCGCGAGUUGUGAUGCGCAUAUGCAUUGACUUCGGUCUUUGAUAAAGCAAUGAUUCGAGUGACAAGAAAAUCCUCUAAACUUAUGAUUAAGAUGACCGUACCAAAACUAACACUAGUGGGUGGGUUGAGUAUACUAAGACGAACGAGAUAACUGAGCUUAAGGAACUCGGCAAUACAGCGUCCGUAACUUCGGGAUAAGGACUGCCUACAUUUUGUAGGCCGCAGCGAAAGGUGCCAUGCAACUGUUUAUCAAAAACACAGGUCCGUGCUAACUCGCAAGAGGAUGUAUACGGGCUGACCCCUGGCCAGUGCCAGAAGGUUAAGUGGAGGGGUGAGAGCUCCAAAAUGAAGCCCUGGUGAACGCCGGCCGUAACUAUAACGGUCCUAAGGUAGCGAAAUUCCUUGUCGGGUAAGUUCCGACCCGCACGAACGGGGUAAUGAUGUGGCAACUGUCUCAAGCUCAGACUCGGUGAAAUUGCAAAAACGGUAAAAAUGCCGUUUACGCGCGGUAGGACGAAAAGACCCUGUGCAGCUUUACUCCAGCUUGUCACUGAAUAUUUGUCUAAUUUGUGCAGGAUAGGUGGGAGCCUUUGAAGCGUAACGCUAGUUGCGUGGAGGCAUCCUUGAGAUACCACCCUUGUUAUACAGAUAUUCUAACGUUUGCCGUAAUCCGGUAAACGGACAGUGAUUGGUGGGGAGUUUGACUGGGGCGGUCGCCUCCUAAAGAGUAACGGAGGCGCGCAUAUGGUUGGCUUGCUACGGAUGGAAAUCGUAGUGGACGUGUAUUCGCAUAAGCCAGCCUGACUGUGAGGCUUACAAGCCGAGCAGGGACGAAAGUCGGUGAAAAUGAUCCGGUGUCUACACGUGGGUGUGGCAUCGCUCAACGGAUAAAAGUUACGCCAGGGAUAACAGGCUAGUCAAGCCCAAGAGUUCAUAUCGACGGCUUGGUUCGGCACCUCGAUGUCGGCUCAUCGCAUCCUGGGGCUGGAGAAGGUCCCAAGGGUAUGGCUGUUCGCCAUUUAAAGCGGUACGCGAGCUGGGUUCAGAACGUCGUGAGACAGUUCGGUCUCUAUCCUCCGUGCGCGAUUAGGAAUUUGAAGGGAGCUGCUUCUAGUACGAGAGGACCGAAGUGGACGUACCUCUGGUGUAUCGGUUGUUGUGUCAACAGCAUUGCCGAGUAGCUAUGUACGGACGGGAUAACCGCUGAAAGCAUCUAAGCGGGAAGCCUCACCUAAGAUAAGAUUCCUCGCCUUCGGGCAUAAGACCUCUGGGAGACUACCAGGUUGAUAGGUGGAAAGUGUAAGCACAGUAAUGUGUUCAGCUGAUCCAUACUAAUUGGUCGAACGAAUUUUA